rnacentral:misc_RNA from 1 species
UCCGAGUUGACCCCGGCAGUCUCCUAUGAGUCCCCACCAUUACGUGCUGGCAACAUAGAACGAGGGUUGCGCUCGUUGCGGGACUUAACCCAACAUCUCACGACACGAGCUGACGACAGCCAUGCACCACCUGUGAACGGCCCCGAAGGACCCGACAUCUCUGCCGGAUUUCCGUCCAUGUCAAACCCAGGUAAGGUUCUUCGCGUUGCAUCGAAUUAAUCCGCAUGCUCCGCCGCUUGUGCGGGUCCCCGUCAAUUCCUUUGAGUUUUAGCCUUGCGGCCGUACUCCCCAGGCGGAGAACUUAUCGCGUUAGCUGCGCCACUAAAGGACUAAUUUCCUCCAACGGCUAGUUCUCAUCGUUAGGGCGUGGACUAC